rnacentral:rRNA from 1 species
AUGUGUAGGCCGUGCUACUCUGAACAAGCCCGAUCUCAUCUGGUCUUGGAAGCUAAGCAGGGUUGGUCCUGGUUAGUACUUGGAUGGGAGACCACCUAGGAAGACCAGGUGCUGUAAGUG